rnacentral:rRNA from 1 species
UACGUAGGGGGCAAGCGUUGUCCGGAAUUAUUGGGCGUAAAGAGCGCGUAGGCGGUCCGAUAAGUCGGCUGUGAAAGUCAUGGGCUCAACCCAUGAAAGCCGGCCGAUACUGUCGGACUAGAGUCCGGAAGAGGCGAGUGGAAUUCCCGGUGUAGCGGUGAAAUGCGCAGAUAUCGGGAGGAACACCAAUGGCGAAGGCAGCUCGCUGGGACGGUACUGACGCUGAGGAGCGAAAGCGUGGGGAGCGAACAGG